rnacentral:misc_RNA from 1 species
GAAGCAUUUGAGUGAGCAACAACCGGUGACAUCCCGGAAACAUUUUUACAGAGUGGAGAAUACGGUAACGCCUCAGGCAGACAAUCCGGUGUUGUGUGUGAAACCGGUGACGAAUCGGAUUCGUCCACAUGCUAGGUUGUUUAUAAAGGAGUGUAUUUGUCGAGGUUAUGGUGAUCGGUUACAAAUAUAUUCUACAGAUUUUAUUGAUGAAGAUUUUGUGGAUGCUUGUAUUGGACUUACAAAUGCAAGGAUUGAAGGCAAGAUCUGAUGUCAAGGUCUUAUUUCUUUCCUAUUCCAGUUUACACGUUUGCUUCAAGAAUAUGAGAAUUAUCGUCUUGAUUCCCAGUUUUCUUCAACAAAGAAAGUGAUUUUUGAGGUAAGAAUUAUUAGUUGAGUGACCGUGUGAGAAGUCAGCUCGAGAAUUAAUUACCUGUUGUGUAUAAUUAUUGGGUGUAACUUGUCAGAUUUAUGUGCGUGUAUGUAUUGUAUUAUUACCACUUGUUACUUUGUAAAAAUUGCUUGGCUUGGAAUUUGAGAUUCUUAUAUGUAGUGAAAUUGUGGGUAAACGAAAUAAUAGGUUAGUUGUACUG